rnacentral:rRNA from 1 species
AUGGUCCAGGACUUUAUCCUCCUAACUGCCACAAGGACCAUGUGCUGCAGCCCCACAAGGACCCUAGUACACAGACUUAUCCAUCACUCAGUUCCUUCCUUGGUAGAGUUGAUCCUGAUUGGCAUACCAAAAUUGAAAAAAUGUACCGGUUCUUAUGGAAUGGAUUUGACUUCCCAUUUAAGUGUUUUGAUGAUCAAGAACUGCCCUCAACUGAAUGAGCUCACUCUUUUCCAGAGUUACUCUUCUUUCGACGCUGAGCAGAAAUCCUGGUUUCCAUCUCUCAGCAAACUGUCCAUCGGGCAGUGUCCUCAUAUAAUCAACAACUGGCCAAUCCUUCCACUAAGAGAAAUGGGGGCACUCAAGGAGUUGGAGUUGAUGGAUCUGCAUGUUGUCAGAGUGUCAGUUCCUUCUCUGGAGAAGUUGGCGUUGACUAAAAUGCCAAUCCUGGAAUAUUGCAGCAGUCUAACGACUUUUCCACCUCUCCAAUCUUCACCUCCUGAAGGAGAUCAGAAUGAAUUGGUGUCUAAUCUCCGUAGACUCACCAUCCAUGAUUGCCCAUGUUUGAUAGUGUCACAUCCUCUUCCGCCUUCUGCUCUAAUUUCUGAGUUGUCCAUCAGUGGGGUUUCGACACUUCCAACAAUGAGGAUAAACUGGAGACGUUUCACUAUCGAAUCUAAUGAGUUGUGUAUGCUGGAUGAGAGUAUCUUGGCAUUUCAUAAUCUGAGGGGCAUAACAUUGUUUCGAAUAAGAAGCUGUCCAAAUCUGAUCUCUCUUUCAAGUGAAUCUUUCAGCCAGCUCAUUGCUUUAGAGACUUUAUCUAUACAUGAAUGCCCUAAUCUUACUAUGUCAAACAUUAUGCCAGAGGUUGUCCAGGAAAACAGCACAUCUACAAGCAGCCUUGUCCCCCCAUCUCUCAAACGUGUCAACAUUAGCACAUGUGGCGUAACUGGGAGGUGGCUAUCUCAACUGCUUUCACAUUCGCAGUCCCUUGAGGAGUUGCUGUUAACUGGCUGUCCGCAGAUAAAGUUUCUAUCAAUCAGUCAACCUAGAGAAACGGAAGGGACCAGCAGUUUGGUUUCAGCAGUGACGACCUCGGCCCAAGAUGAACAUGAAUUGAAACUGCCAUAUAAUCUCCUAUGUUCUCUCAAGGCGCUAUGCAUUCAGCAAAGCCUGGAUCUGAAGUUCAUUGGGGGUAAUACAGGCUCUACAAGAUUCAGCUCUCUUACGCAGCUUUUCCUUCAUGGUUGCCCCAAGCUACUCUCAUUGUUGGUGGGUGAAACAAAAGAUGAUGGUACCAUGGAUGUUGGAUUACUCCCACCAUCACUUGAAGACCUUAGUAUCGGUCCUCUCCCAGAAAACUUGCAGUCAUUCACUCCUGAAGGCCUUUUGUACCUCAAAAAGUUACGUCUAUCUUAUGGCCCAUGUUUGAAGUCUGUACAGCUGCAUUCCUGUACGGCCUUAGAGGAGCUGGAUAUCAUGGGGUGUGUCCAGCUGACUGUACUGGAGGGCUUGCAGUUUCUCAGCUCCCUUCGAAGCUUGAAGAUGGAGAUGAAUUCCGAGCUGUCUUGUGCAUGGGAUCUCAAACUGCAGGAACAAGAGCAGGGUGGGAAUCAAAUUCAGUUAUUUCCUCGGUCACUUGAUAAACUUGAGAUCACGGCCGUCACGGACAGGGUCCAAUCCCGUCUUCUGUCCUGCCUUCCUGCCAUGACCAAAUUAGCAGUACAGAGAAGUCCGGAACUGACGUCUCUACAGUUGGCAUGCUGCACGGCACUGAAAGAGUUGGAAAUUGGAGACUGCGACUUGCUUGCGUCGAUCGAGGGCCUCCAGUUCUGUAGAAACCUGACAUCCUUGAAAGUAUUUAACUCCCCCGGCCUACCUUCCUGUUUUCAACUUUUGUCCGACCAGCAAGGUGUCUGUGAAGUAUGGUCUGGAUUGAAAACUCUUGUGGCUAGUGACGCAUCUAUCCUGUCCAGGCCGUUCUGCAAACAGCUGACUUCCCUAAGACGUCUACAGUUUGGCUCUGCGUAUAGUGCAAGCUUGGUGAACCUAACAGACGAACAAGAGAGAGCUUUACAGCUUCUAACCUCACUCCAAGAACUUCAAUUCCUGAGAUGCCCGAAUCUCUUAUCACUUCCUGCAAUCCUAUAUAGCCUGACCUCCCUCGGAACAUUAUCUAUCGUACAUUGUAGGAGCAUCACAAGGUUGCCAGACAUGGGCUUUGCACCUUCGCUCAGUCACCUUGAGGUAGCCUAUUGCAGUGAGGAGCUAGGUAUGGAGUGCAGAAUUGCAGCAACUGAAAAGCUAAGAGUCACAAUUGAUUAUGUGGAUGUGAAUUAA